GUGAGGAAUUUUCCGCAAUGGGCGAAAGCCUGACGGAGCAAAGCCGCGUGAAGGAUGAAGGCCUAUGGGUUGUAAACUUCUUUUCUCAGAAAAGAAUUAUGACGGUAUCUGAGGAAUAAGCAUCGGCUAACUCUGUGCCAGCAGCCGCGGUAAGACAGAGGAUGCAAGCGUUAUCCGGAAUGAUUGGGCGUAAAGCGUCUGUAGGUUGUUUAAAAAGUAUUCUGUCAAAGAUUAGGGCUUAACCCUAGAUAGGCAGAAUAAACUUUUAAGCUAGAGUUUGGUAGAGGCAGAGGGAAUUCCCGGUGGAGCGGUGAAAUGCGUAGAUAUCGGGAGGAACACCAAAGGCGAAGGCACUCUGCUGGGCCAAUACUAACACUGAGAGACGAAAGCGAGGGGAGCAAAUGGGAUUAGAAACCCCUGUAGUCC
rnacentral:rRNA from 1 species